AUUGAACGCUGGCGGCAGGCCUAACACAUGCAAGUCGAACGAGUGGCGGACGGGUGAGUAAUGUCUGGGAAACUGCCUGAUGGAGGGGGACAACUACUGGAAACGGUAGCUAAUACCGCCUACCAUCGGAUGUGCCCAGGUGGGACUAGCUAGUAGGUGGGGUAAAGGCUCACCUAGGCGACGAUCCCUAGCUGGUCUGCGAGGAUGACCAGCCACACGGGAACUGAGACACGGUCCAUACUCCGACGUGAGGCAGCUGUGGGGAAGAUUGCACAAUGGGCGAAAGCCUGAUGCAGCCAUGCCGAGUGUAUGAAGAAGGCCUUCGGGUUGUAAAGUACUUUCGGCGGGGAGGCGUUGCCCGCAGAAUAAGCACCAGCUAACUCCGUGCCAGCCGCCGCGGUAAUAC
rnacentral:rRNA from 1 species